CCCCGCCCCCACCGGUUCCCGAGCCCGCCCCGGCCACGCAGAUUCCGGCUCCCAGCCCCAGGACUCUGAUACUGGGCCCGCCGGGACUGAAGAGAACGGACUCCAGGUUUCCCUGGCUACCUGAGAAGUAGAAAUUCUCACCACAAGGACUACCUUUCAGGAUCCCUGCUCAGUUUAGUUUUUCAGACUUGCACACUGAGCAUAUUAUUGUCUCAAACAACUGUUGACUUACAUAUGAAUUUAUUUUUCUAGCCCCUCCCAUUUCACUACAUAGAGGGGGGUUCACUUAUUAGGAACAUUUUGUUGCUGAUAAUCUGGCUCCCUGCAGACCCUUGGAGAUUCCGUAUUACACUGCGUUCUUUACUUUGUAGCCCACAAUCUAUUAAGAUCAUUGAAAGCUUCUGUUUCUCUAUUUUGACUAUCAUAUUCUUUCAAUUACCUGUAAAAGUACUCAGGGGAACACUGCCUAUCAGCCAAACUCAAAACCUGUCCUUUUUUCUCCCUUAAGGCAGUAUCAAGCCAGCCUCAAAAGGAAAUAAGACUUUCUCCUCAGUUGAUGAGGAUUUUCCAUGGGGUUAAAUCUCACUCACCCUUCCUCAUCCUCCAUUCUCAACCCAGUGUGUCUCUGGAGAGCCAUAUAUAAGAACUUGCUGGAGCCUUCCAUGUCAGCCUGAAGCCCUUCUCACAGAAAGGAAAUUAUUUUGGAGAAAACUAACAUUUCAGAGGCACACUGUUGGUUUUUGUGCCUUGGGCUUCUUACUAAAAGAUGGUGAAAAGCAAAAAGAUGAGGUGUUUGCCCCAGGGUAAUGUCUGGAACCAGAAAAAUACAGAUAGUUAUUUGUCUCCAAAAAGCUUCCUGCCCAGACCAGCUGUCCUUUCCAGUUUACUAAACAUGUUAAAAAGAAAGUAAGCCAUCUUGCCAGAGGCUUUAACCGUCUCCUCAAAAAAUCUGCUUUCCUCUUGCCAGAUGUUACCCUGGAAAAUUGUUCUUCCACUUACCCAUUUCACAUUUCAUCAAGAAUACACGAGUCACCAAAAGCAAAAAGUAAAACUCUAGAAGCUGAACCCUCUCUCUGACUUUCCAUCAGCAUAUUACUGCCUAAUAUAUGUGACCAGUUACUCCCCAGAAAAACGCUCUCAGUAGAAAUUCACAUAUGGUGGUGGUAAGGAGUAGAUGAGUAGAUAACAGAGGACUCACAGCAACAAAAGGUGCAUCUCCAUUCUCCAGAAGGAUCAACUAAAUGGCAGCCUAUCUCCAGUUGAUUGUCUGUAUUUCUAAACUCCCAUUUUCCCAUUUCUAAAAAUAAAGUAAGUUCUUUGAGACCCAUAAUAUGUCAUAUGUGGUUUGUGGAUU